GGAUACAACGUCACCACAUCUGGCUACAACGUCACCACAUCUGGCUAGCAACGUCACCACAUCUGGCUGCAACGUCACCACAUCUGGCACACCCUCUCGGAUGUUAUGUUCACCAAAUGGUCCUGGUCUUCCUCAUUGGCCAAGAUACGACCAGGUAGCUGGGCUCUACCAACGGUUUGACAGCAAUAUAUCACCACAAUAUCACGUGACACUUGACAGGGUCCAGUUCUGGAACCAAUACCUCCCAUCAUUAGCGAAGAAUACUCCAAGUACAGUCGUCGGAUAAAAACAUUCUAACAGUCAUCCUGAUUAUAUUUGUGAUGUUGACAUCAACCAGAUUAUUACAUCGUCGUUAUAUAUACCGUGAUUAUCAUAGACUUCUGUUGAAAAAAACAUUUUAAGAUGAUGAAAUGAUGUACUAUUUAAUUUAAACAUCCAGGUUUGAUUUCCCUUCAGUGUUUAGAAAAAAAGUAUUAAACAUUCAAUUCCUU